CAAUAGCGUAUAUUAAAGUUGUUGCAGUUAAAAAGCUCGUAGUUGGAUUUCUGGUGGGAGCGAUCGGUCUGGCGCUUAGCGCAAGUACUUGCAUCGUCUCCGGCCAUCCUUGGGGAGAGUCUGUCUGGCAUUAAGUUGUCGGGCAGAGGAUCCUCAUCGUUUACUGUGAAAAAAUUAGAGUGUUCAAAGCAGGCUUAUGCCGUUGAAUAUAUUAGCAUGGAAUAAUAAGAUAGGACUUUGGUACUAUUUUGUUGGUUUGCGCACCAAAGUAAUGAUUAAUAGGGACAGUUGGGGGUAUUCGUAUUCCGUUGUCAGAGGUGAAAUUCUUGGAUUUACGGAAGACGAACUACUGCGAAAGCAUUUACCAAGGAUGUUUUCAUUAA
rnacentral:rRNA from 1 species